UAUAAUUUCUUUUCAUAGGAACCUGCUCCUUACACUUGAAAAGCAAACAUCAAAGGCUGGGAACAGGAGCAGAAAUGCUUUUGCAGUGGUCAUCAGAGCACACAUGAGGUCUAAGCUUCUGCUUGGCUGUGGCCCAGUACUCAGAAGGGACCUGCUUCAGGGACACUGGCAAGGGGCUCACAGCAAGGGUGUCCUUCCAGAGCUGUGACACUGGACAGUGGCUGGGGAAAUGACCAGGCUGGUCAGCGGGCCGUGUGGUAUACGAGGGUGGCUGUCAUCUGUCAGUGGCUUUCACACUGUAGCCACCCAUGGAGGUUGAACCACAAAGGAAACGGACACUGGAUCCCAGCCAUGGCCAGAUCCCUGGGACAGGGCCAGCAGCGGAACAGCUGUGGGAGCAAUGGAAGAGCAGCAAGAUCUGGAGCUCACACUUACGCCCUAGGCUUGGUCUGGAAGGAAACUCAGUAGUGUUCAGGGCCAGCCCUUUCCAUUUUAGGGGACAACCCUGAAGCUCUUGAGAAUAAGCGACUCUUCUGAGGUCCUGCCAUGAAUGACAGGUGCCUGGUGAUCUCACUUACCAAGGCCACUACCCUUCAACUGAGGAUGUCUCUUCCUUUGGGAUGGUGAAGACUUCAUUUGGGUGACAAAGAGGACAGGGUGAUUCAGUACUACAAAAAUCAUGGGAAACACCAGCCCCUGCAAGCUCAGCCCCAAGGGACAUGGAUGUUUAUGCUGCUCUUGAUACAGGAAAAUAAAAACUCCCA